GUGGUGCUGAGGAUCGAACCUGGGCCACACGCAUGCGAGGCGAGUGCGCUACCGCUUAAGCCACAUCCCCAGCCCAAAGUAAAAAUUUUUUUAAAAAAUUAAAAAGUUAAAGAAAAACAAACAUCAGUCUCUCCCCGCCCCUGCCUCUGCCCCCAGAGUAACUCAAAAGCCUCCUCUCUGAAUGUAUUUGUUUGGUCACUGUUGUUAUUAUCAAAGCACUUUUCCUUCUCUGUCAAAUGUCCUCUAGGUGGCUAGAGGUAAGUUAGAGCUGUGUUUGCAAGUCAUUAGGGCACCUCAAGUGCACUAAGAUGAUUAUUUGCUAAAUGGCUUCAUAGUGUUUGAGAAGUUAGUGUAGUCCACAUAGGAGUUCCCAUGCCCUGGGGGAAGAGCUAACACCCACCUCUGUGGUAGCCUUGUUUAUCUGUAGCAGACUUAAAGAUAAGAAAGACUGUUAAAGAUCAUUAGCAAGACAUAGCCAAGGAGUAAAUUUUCUUUUCUUUUUUAGUAGUAAUUGAACCCAGAGCAAUCCCCCCCCACUCCGCCUUUUUUUUUUUUAAACAGGGUCUCACUGAAUCGCUUAGGACCUCACUAAAUUACUGAGGCUGGCUUUGAACUUGCGAUUCUCCUGCCUCAGACUCCAGGAGAUUACAGGUAUAUGCCACAGCACCCAGCUCACUUUGCGUCUCACAGCUGCCUCCUGAACAACUCCAGAUGGGAAUUAUCUGGGCACCUUGAAAUCAAACCCCAAACUCAACUUCCUGCUUCUCCUGUAUUUCUUAACUCAGUAAUUGCCUAGUUAUUCGAGCUAGACCCUUGCAUAUCACCCGUAACUCCUGCCUUUAGCCGCUCUCCCCAAAUCAGUAAUGAAUAUCAAUUGCAUCAUUAUCCAUUCAGUCCUGUCCAUACAAAUCUGUCUACUCCUCCUCUCUACUGCCACCACUUGCCUUGUGACUUUGGGCAGUUACUUAGCUUUUCUGUUCCUUGAAUUCCCCAUCCAUAAAUAGGAAAUUAUUAUAUCUACCUCAUUGAGUUGCAAAGAUUAAAUGAGAUAAUGGGACUCAGAAUAUUAGCAAUUACUCAGACUGUCACUGGGGCCACAUCUCAUUUACUGAAAGAACCUCUUAAUGAGUCCCCUCUAGUUUGAUCCCUGUCUCUUCUCUAGUUGCAGCUCUAAUGAUCUUUCUGAAGGCAAAUUCCUUUAUGCCACUCUUCUGUGUAAAACUCUCUCAAGACCCUAAAUUACAUCUUUAGCACUGAGGGUGGGGUGAGGAGAUUAAAAAAAAUGGUCAAGGUCAGGUGUGGUGGUACAGAUCCGGAGGCUGAACAAGAGGAUCAUAAGUUCGAGGUCAGCCUCAGCAAUUUAGCAAUUCUGUCUCAAAAGGACUGGGAAUGUAGCUCAGUGGUAAAGUGACCCUGGUUCAAUCCCAGCACCAAAAGAAGGGGCAGGGGAGCUGGUGUAACAGGAAGUCCCGGUCUUAAUCUCCGGCACUGCAAAAAGAAUAAACAAAAAUUUAAAAAUAAAAUCACCUUGUGCUUGCCUUUGCACACAGCAAACAGUGAGGCUCCUUUGGUGUGAUUUAUGAGAAGGUUGUCCAAGAUCUGAUUUCCCCACCUCGAGUUCUCCCCCACUUUCCUGCCUCAAAGCACACCAGCUGCAUCUGUCUGUCCACUCUCCUUCUGGCCAUCUCCUACUCAUUCAUUGGGUCUCCAACCUGGCUUGUUCCAGCAGAUCUUUACUGAUCCCACAAGAUGGGAUCAGGUGUUCCUUUUCUGUUUUUUCUCGGGUUUAUCCCAAUGUACUUUAUCCCUGUUUUAUAAUUGCCUCUUUACUUUUUUGUCUUCACUAAAGUUUAAUACCCUUCAUGAAGUUACUGUAUCUUGAUCACCACUGUUUCUUCAACCUCUAGCCAAUGUUUGACCUGGAGCAGGUAAGCAACAAGUAUUUCUGGGGUUGUGGCUCAGCAGUGGAGCGCUCGCCUAACAUGUGUGAAGCCCUGGGUUCGAUGCUCAGCACCACAUAAAAUAAGUAAAAUAAGU
rnacentral:lncRNA from 1 species